rnacentral:rRNA from 1 species
UGGCCUACGGGGGGCAGCAGUGAGGAAUAUUGGUCAAUGGGCUUACGCCUGAACCAGCCAAGUCGCGUGAGGGAAGACUGCCCUAUGGGUUGUAAACCUCUUUUGUCAGGGAGCAACGCCGGCUACGUGUAGCCGGACUGAGAGUACCUGAAGAAAAAGCAUCGGCUAACUCCGUGCCAGCAGCCGCGGUAAUACGUAGGUGGCAAGCGUUAUCCGGAUUUAUUGGGCGUAAAGCGAGCGCAGGCGGUUGCUUAGGUCUGAUGUGAAAGCCUUCCGCUUAACCG